rnacentral:lncRNA from 13 species
GCUGUGUCCUGUGUAUUGCACAUCCACUGUGGCUCCUCUUCCCCCAGAAAUAAUGUUUUGAGAAACAAAUAAUCAGGAAACAGAAUCAUUCUGCAGCAGGCACUACAGUUCUGUGCUAUACAGGCACCUGAGGUGCAGAACUGAUUAAAGCUUGUGAGCUCAGGUUACCCUCGAAGCUUGGCGCCGUUUGCAUUUUCUUCUUUCAGAGAAAGAAAUUCAGAAGAAGAGUGACGGAGCAAACUUGUAGCAGAGCUGAAGAAAGAAAGGAAUAAUCUGAGGAUGAAAGAGGAGAAAUUAAAACCGGAAAGGUGACGCUGACUUGUAGUACAACUGGGAUGGCAAAUAAAGAUUUUUAAAGGUCUUGCACAUUGUUCAACCACUAAAGCAGCAUGUUUAUUAACUAGAAUUUACAGCCUAGACCACCCCCUGAGUUUUUAAGGGUCUGACCUGACCAACCCCAGGUGGUUUGCCCUUUCUCAGGGUUCAUCCCAGGAGCGAAGUCCUG